rnacentral:lncRNA from 1 species
GAUGGCGUGUGGGCAAAUGGCGUGAAGAUCAUGGAACCAUGAAUGGAUAAGGAUGAAAUAUUCUUUUGAUCUUAUCCAUUCCACCUCUCAUCCUCACGCCUAAGGGAAGAGUGGCGCCAUCUUUUCUAGCCAUUGGAUCAUUGUUGGACUUUGAUCAAUGGACAAGGAUUGCUCCUACUUUUCAUGCGUGAGAAGAAAUGAA